rnacentral:rRNA from 1 species
UACGGGGGGGGUAAGCGUUGUUCGGAAUUACUGGGCGUAAAGGGCUCGUAGGCGGCCAACUAAGUCGGAUGUGAAAUCCCCAGGCUUAACCUGGGAACUGCAUCCGAUACUGGAUGGCUUGAGUUUGGGAGAGGGAUGCGGAAUUCCAGGUGUAGCGGUGAAAUGCGUAGAUAUCUGGAGGAACACCGGUGGCGAAGGCGGCAUCCUGGACCAAUACUGACGCUGAGGAGCGAAAGCUAGGGGAGCAAACGGG